UACGUAGGGUGCAAGCGUUAAUCGGAAUUACUGGGCGUAAAGCGUGCGCAGGCGGUUAUGUAAGACGGAUGUGAAAUCCCCGGGCUCAACCUGGGAACUGCAUUUGUGACUGCAUAGCUUGAGUGCGGCAGAGGGGGAUGGAAUUCCGCGUGUAGCAGUGAAAUGCGUAGAUAUGCGGAGGAACACCGAUGGCGAAGGCAAUCCCCUGGGCCUGCACUGACGCUCAUGCACGAAAGCGUGGGGAGCAAACAGG
rnacentral:rRNA from 1 species